rnacentral:rRNA from 1 species
AUUGAACGCUGGCGGCAUGCUUUACACAUGCAAGUCGAACGGUAACAGGCCGCAAGGUGCUGACGAGUGGCGAACGGGUGAGUAAUGCAUCGGAACGUGCCCAGUCGUGGGGGAUAACGCAGCGAAAGCUGUGCUAAUACCGCAUACGAUCUAUGGAUGAAAGCGGGGGACCGUAAGGCCUCGCGCGAUUGGAGCGGCCGAUGUCAGAUUAGGUAGUUGGUGGGGUAAAGGCUCACCAAGCCAACGAUCUGUAGCUGGUCUGAGAGGACGACCAGCCACACGGGGACUGAGACACGGCCCGGACUCCUACGGGAGGCAGCAGUGGGGAAUUUUGGACAAUGGGCGCAAGCCUGAUCCAGCAAUGCCGCGUGCAGGAAGAAGGCCUUCGGGUUGUAAACUGCUUUUGUACGGAACGAAAAGGUUUGGGUUAAUACCCUGGGCCGAUGACGGUACCGUAAGAAUAAGCACCGGCUAACUACGUGCCAGCCGCCGCAGUAA